AGCUGUGCUAUGUUUGCUCUCAGAAAUGCUGUUUGUCUGACUGACCCCGUUUGUCUCGUGUGUGUUCCCUGUUCCCCAGGAAUACCUAAGUACCACACUUGCAGCCCUGCGCUCUAACCAGAUCCUUACGCUGAAGGGUGAACAAGGACAGGCGGGGAUCCAAGGUCCCCCGGGGCCCCCUGGUCCACCAGGGCCCACUGGACCAGCUGGACCUGAAGGAAUCCCAGGACGUCCUGGGCCAAUUGGACCCCCUGGCAGAGCAGGAGAACCUGGAAAGCCUGGCAGAGAUGGCAAGGGCUUACCUGGGCCUCCUGGACCAAAGGUGAGACAUCUCACCUCACUUAGAGGUGUAGAAAGAUGAUGAGCAGAGAUGGACUCUCGUGAUGAAGACAGAUGUGUACAUUUUGAUGGUUGGAGGAGGGGAAAAAGAGGUUACAUCAAACAGCUGAG
rnacentral:lncRNA from 1 species